rnacentral:rRNA from 1 species
CCUAACACAUGCAAGUCGAACGGUAACAGGAAGCAGCUUGCUGCUUCGCUGACGAGUGGCGGACGGGUGAGUAAUGUCUGGGAAGCUGCCUGAUGGAGGGGGAUAACUACUGGAAACGGUAGCUAAUACCGCAUAAUGUCGCAGGACCAAAGAGGGGGACCUUCGGGCCUCUUGCCAUCGGAUGUGCCCAGAUGGGAUUAGCUUGUUGGUGGGGUAACGGCUCACCAAGGCGACGAUCCCUAGCUGGUCUGAGAGGAUGACCAGCCACACUGGAACUGAGACACGGUCCAGACUCCUACGGGAGGCAGCAGUGGGGAAUAUUGCACAAUGGGCGCAAGCCUGAUGCAGCCAUGCCGCGUGUAUGAAGAAGGCCUUCGGGUUGUAAAGUACUUUCAGCGGGGAGGAAGGGAGUAAAGUUAAUACCUUUGCUCAUUGACGUUACCCGCAGAAGAAGCACCGGCUAACUCCGUGCCAGCAGCCGCGGUAA